GUACGAAGGUGCGCUCAGCGUGGUCGGAAAUCACGCGUAGAGUAUAAAGGCAAAAGCGCGCUUAACUGCGAGACCCACAAGUCGAGCAGGUACGAAAGUAGGUCUUAGUGAUCCGGUGGUUCUGUAUGGAAGGGCCAUCGCUCAACGGAUAAAAGGUACUCUGGGGAUAACAGGCUGAUACCGCCCAAGAGUUCAUAUCGACGGCGGUGUUUGGCACCUCGAUGUCGGCUCAUCUCAUCCUGGGGCUGAAGCAGGUCCCAAGGGUAUGGCUGUUCGCCAUUUAAAGAGGUACGCGAGCUGGGUUUAGAACGUCGUGAGACAGUUCGGUCCCUAUCUACCGUGGGCGCUGGAAAUUUGAGAGGAUCUGCUCCUAGUACGAGAGGACCAGAGUGGACGAACCUCUGGUGUACCGGUUGUGACGCCAGUCGCAUCGCCGGGUAGCUAUGUUCGGAAGGGAUAACCGCUGAAAGCAUCUAAGCGGGAAGCCUACCUCAAGAUAAGAUUUCCCUAGGAAUUUAUUCCUCUAAAGAGCCGUUCGAGACUAGGACGUUGAUAGGUUGGAUGUGGAAGCAUAGUGAUAUGUGAAGCUGACCAAUACUAAUUGCUCGUGAGGCUUGACUAUACAACACCCAAGCAGUUG
rnacentral:rRNA from 1 species